rnacentral:rRNA from 1 species
GACGUAGGGCGCAAGCGUUGUCCGGAUUUAUUGGGCGUAAAGAGCUCGUAGGCGGCUUGUUGCGUCGGCUGUGAAAACCCGCGGCUUAACUGUGGGCUUGCAGCCGAUACGGGCGGGCUGGAGUUCGGUAGGGGAGACUGGAAUUCCUGGUGUAGCGGUGAAAUGCGCAGAUAUCAGGAGGAACACCGGUGGCGAAGGCGGCAUCCUGGACCGACACUGACGCUGAGGAGCGAAAGCCAGGGGAGCAAACGGG